UACGUAGGGUGCGAGCGUUAAUCGGAAUUACUGGGCGUAAAGCGUGCGCAGGCGGUUCGUUGUGUCGGUGGUGAAAUCCCCGGGCUUAACCUGGGAAUGGCCAUGGAAACUGGCGAACUGGAGUGUGGCAGAGGGGGGUGGAAUUCCGCGUGUAGCAGUGAAAUGCGUAGAGAUGCGGAGGAACACCGAUGGCGAAGGCAGCCCCCUGGGCUAACACUGACGCUGAUGCGCGAAAGCGUGGGUAGCAAACGGG
rnacentral:rRNA from 1 species